UCCUACGGGAGGCAGCAGUGGGGAAUAUUGGACAAUGGGCGAAAGCCUGAUCCAGCCAUGCCGCGUGUGUGAAGAAGGUCUUCGGAUUGUAAAGCACUUAAGUUGGGAGGAAGGGCAGUAAGUUAAUACCUUGCUGUUUUGACGUUACCAACAGAAUAAGCACCGGCUAACUUCGUGCCAGCAGCCGCGGUAAUA
rnacentral:rRNA from 1 species